AACGAACGCUGGCGGCAUGCCUAACACAUGCAAGUCGAACGAGACCUUCGGGUCUAGUGGCGCACGGGUGCGUAACGCGUGGGAAUCUGCCCUUGGGUUCGGAAUAACAGUUGGAAACGACUGCUAAUACCGGAUGAUGACGUAAGUCCAAAGAUUUAUCGCCCAAGGAUGAGCCCGCGUAGGAUUAGCUAGUUGGUGAGGUAAAGGCCCACCAAGGCGACGAUCCUUAGCUGGUCUGAGAGGAUGAUCAGCCACACUGGGACUGAGACACGGCCCAGACUCCUACGGGAGGCAGCAGUGGGGAAUAUUGGACAAUGGGCGAAAGCCUGAUCAAGCAAUGCCGCGUGAGUGAUGAAGGCCUUAGGGUUGUAAAGCUCUUUUACCCGGGAUGAUAAUGACAGUACCGGGAGAAUAAGCUCCGGCUAACUCCGUG
rnacentral:rRNA from 1 species